UACAGAGGUCCCAAGCGUUGUUCGGAUUCACUGGGCGUAAAGGGUGCGUAGGCGGUCGAGUAAGUCUGACGUGAAAUCUCCGGGCCUAACCCGGAAACUGCGUUGGAAACUACUUGGCUAGAGGAAUGGAGGGGAGACUGGAAUACUUGGUGUAGCAGUGAAAUGCGUAGAUAUCAAGUGGAACACCAAUGGCGAAGGCAGAUCUCUGGGCCGUAACUGACGCUGAGGAGCGAAAGCAUGGGGAGCGAACAGG
rnacentral:rRNA from 1 species